rnacentral:rRNA from 1 species
AUUGAACGCUGGCGGCAGGCCUAACACAUGCAAGUCGAGCGGAUGAAGGGAGCUUGCUCCUGGAUUCAGCGGCGGACGGGUGAGUAAUGCCUAGGAAUCUGCCUGGUAGUGGGGGAUAACGUCCGGAAACGGGCGCUAAUACCGCAUACGUCCUGAGGGAGAAAGUGGGGGAUCUUCGGACCUCACGCUAUCAGAUGAGCCUAGGUCGGAUUAGCUAGUUGGUGGGGUAAAGGCCUACCAAGGCGACGAUCCGUAACUGGGCUGAGAGGAUGAUCAGUCACACUGGAACUGAGACACGGUCCAGAGUCCUACGGGAGGCAGCAGUGGGGAAUAUUGGACAAUGGGCGAAAGCUUGAUCCAGCCAUGCCGCGUGGGUGAAGAAGGUCUUCGGAUUGUAAAGCACUUUAAGUUGGGAGGAAGGGCAGUAAGUUAAUACCUUGCUGUUUUGACGUUACCAACAGAAUAAGCACCGGCUAACUUCGUG